GUUUCAUUUGAAGUGUACUGUUAAAGCUUAUAAUGACUUCUGAAGUACACUUUUCAAAAGUCUCUCUACCUUUUCAUUUCUUUUGCUUUGGGUCAUUAACAAGCUGGAUUUAAGUGUUGCUGUGUUCAUCCUUCUCACACAAGGAUAUUCACUAUGCCAAGGUGUUUAGGGUUUGUCCACCUCCGAGUGGAUUUGAAGGAGGCAGCCAUCCGGAGUUCGCAACUCUCCCAUCUAUAAGCCUCUUUUCUCUCCUUUCUUUUUCCAUUUUUGCCUUGUGGUUGAAAUUGUAAAGCCAUUUUUCAUUACCUUUGCUAGCUGCACCAUGGAAUGGACUAAUAUCCGCCUGUGCAAGAUAGGGCAUGUAGACCUCCUGUGGUACACGUUAGAUCUGAUGCCGAGCCCUUUUGCUUUUGGUGAAGAUUUUUAUGUGCUAACAUAAUUUAGCCAACUUCAUAUAGCAGCUCUUGUGUCCUCUUGUUAAUAUUUCUGCUGCUUUUUUCAUGAUUGUUCUUGUUAGCUUUCUUACUGCUGCAACUCCGUUUGACAGUUAAUAUCAUUUUGUGGUUUUAUUUUUCUUGUACUUAUUCUGAUUGCUGGUAUCUGGUAUUUAUCUGUAUUCAAAAUCCUUCUCCCUUCUCCUGGUACAUCUGUAAAAGAGUUAAAUUCCAAGAUCCUAUCUGUGUGUGUAGCUAGAUUAGCAAAGUAACCUGCUAAUUGAUUUCCUUCCCUGAAAAUGUGUUGGAAAAUGACCCCUUGCUUAUUUGCUUCCAUUUUGAUCUCUUCAAAAAUUUCCACUAUUUCUCAAGGCACUUGCCACACUUUCUUUAUUACAUUUAACAUCACCAAGGAAUCUGUUUCUAUAGUUACUCUUUGAAGUCGAUUGUUAGAGCAGUACCUUAAAGCUACUAGAAUUGCCUUGGCUUCAGCUGACAUGUUUAUAUCUACUCCAAUAUUCUCUGCCUUAACAAAAAUUAAAUCUUCUUCUUGGUAUCUCAAAUAAAAACCGUAAGCACUUACUCUAGGAUUUCCUUUGCUUGCUCCAUCUGUGUUACACUUGAUACUUUCAGCACCUGACAGCCUCCAUCUUACCACUUAGUGAUGUAAUCUUGGCUUGUAGCUCCCCAAGAAUCUAAGUAGCUCCUUCCAUUCCAUUGACUAUAUCUGCAAUCAUGGGUAUAGAACUCUCAGUAUCUGAUAUGUGUGUUUGAAUUUGUUGCACCAUCAUGGUUAGACUAGUAUCUCCUUAAUAAAAGGAACUCUUGUUCAAAUUUAUCAGUUGCCCUAAUACUUUCUCAUAACUCCUUAGGACCCCCAUCAUUUUUUUAAUGGACUUUUUCUGUCACGACUCGAGCCGAGGCCUUGGCCGCGACGAGCAUCCCGAACCAUGAAGGCUCGAGAGCCUUGCUAACUAGUAAUCAUAUGCUCAAUUCAUACAUUAUAAAGAAAUGCGGAAAACAACACAGAACGGAAACAUGGUCAUUCUCUUUUACUUCAACUGAACAAUACGAAUAUUAGUUCAUAAAUAUUCAAAAACACAUGAUACUGGUCUGCGAAAUCUCUAACAACAUGAAAACGACUUCUGUCUUAAGACUGGAACAAGUAUGUGAAACAAUCCAAAAUAACAUAUUUUUAUACAACAUAAUGAGAGCCUUUCAUAAAACAAUGAACAUAAUGCAUAAGUGAAAAACACAUGGGCAUAUUUUAAUGAACUUCAAAACACUUCUUUGAGACCAUGACUCACUCUUUAUUUUAUUUUUGAGCUAGAUGGAUCACUCUACAUACAUGGUAAUCCACAGGCUAUGUGGAUCCUGCCCAUAACCCGGUAGCCAGACUCCCAAUCCAAAUUUGCCGCAAGGAUGUGAAAAAUCAUAAAAAGGUUCAGGUGCUCAGUUUUAGCAACGUGAGUGAUUU